rnacentral:lncRNA from 1 species
CAGAAUUGUAUAGUAUACCAAGUUAACAACUCACAAAGACCUUAAAUUGUGAUAAACCGGUUCAAAUUGAUGUCUUGUGCAUGUGUUCAAUAUAUGUGGUCUUUUCUCAAUAUAUAUGUUUAUGUACAUUAUUAUUCACUUACUAAUUUGUUAUCCUAACUGAUUCUGAUUGCCUGUUAUCCUAACCGAUUCUACAUGCCUGCUCAUCUCGCUGGACGAAUGCAUCUCCAAUUUAGCAAAGAUUAUGACACUUAAUGACAACAGGUAUGGUCAAAUAACAUAAGCGCCCUGCACGCCCCUCCCCUUUAUUGUUAGUCUACUGAUCCCCAUAUUACCUUUUUUCUUGCUAUAUUCUUAUAAAUACUUUCUUCUGUUAUGUAAAGCAACACUUUGAACCGGUUCGAAAACGGGCCUGAGAGUGUGUCCACGUCGGUUAUAAAGUUUUCAGUCGUCCGAUCGCUUCUCGACGGUGACGCACAGCUCUCUGUUUCACGACGCGAGAAGGUUCUAGCUCCAUCCUCUCCGGCUAAACGCACUCCUAGCUCCGUUCACUCCCAAGUAAUGCCACCGCCUAUAGCCAUGCUUUCCUCCACCGCCUCCACCACGGCGGCGCUAUCCCGCCUCGUCGACCGCACCUAGGUCUCAGACCCACACUGCAGCACCGUGUGUUUGGGGCGUCUUCAACCUCCUCUCCCUCCUCGCGGCCGCCCACGACGUCGCCUCAGCCCUCCUCGCUUCGCCUCAUCCUGUAGUUGCCGCGCACGCUGUGGCGUCCCUCGCCCGUCUCAGGACCAUCCCUUUGUCCAGGGGCUCGCGUUGGGGGCUGAUGGCGCGCACGGAACUGACGCGGCAGGCAACAGGCAGCAGGGAUGGUUGCCGAUGGAGGGGUGGAUUGGGUGCUCUAGUUCCUGAGGCCGUUCAUUGUUCUCUGUGGUAUGGAAGCAAGCGGUCACCAGCUUGGCCACGCGCUCCUCCGCUCGUCGGCCCCGAAACCUCUCCAAAACCCUACGGCCGUGGCUCCCAGCGCUAUGCGCGCCUCCUGAACCUUCGCUUCCAGAGAUGUCGUUGGUGCCCACUAAGCCCGCACCCGCACUCAAUCCAUUCCUCCUCCGGUCCUCCCACUCGCCUCCCUUGCCUUGCCGCGCGCCCUCCCACCCAUCCGCCUCCACGCAGAGAAGCGCCUACGCAGUCUCAGCUCGGCCACCGUCUCGGCUGCGGCAUCCACCUCCUCCUCCGCGGACCCGAGUGUGAGGGAUUUGAUCGGCGCACCGGCCGCAGCAGCCGUGGCAAUAGGGAAGGCUGGUGUCGUGAUCCCCUUCUGAAGAUGCUCCAAGACAACAUGUUGCAUUUCAGCCGUGGGGACGAUCAGGUAUCUGUGUGGUCUAAUGUUCAAGGAUUAUAUAUUCUCUUACUCCUAAUGAUGCUGACAUGCUGUAAUUGGCAAUUAUGCGAGCUGUUGUGCAAAAAAGAGCUACUACUGUGAUGGUUUGAUAUAAUCCCGGUAGCAGUUUUGGUGUGCAUUCCAUCAUGGAAGUGAUGGAUUCAUCAGUGAUUCACUGUUAUUGUCUAGUCCAGAUUAGUUCAUAGACCACAUUUUAGCAAAAAAAAGGUAGGGAAAAAUUGUAGGUUUGAGAAUCUCUUGUUCGCAAUAAUUAUCUUAUCUUCAUCUAUGUUUUUAAUUACUUAUUCUUUCUUUUAUUCAGGAAGUGUGGCUAUGUCUAAGUUCCGCAGAGUUCUUGGUUGAUGCUUAUGUAGUGCUACUGAGGAAGUUAGCUCAUGGUCAAAUGGUACCGCAUUCUCCCUUUCGCUUAAUUUGUGCAAUGAAUUAUUGGAUUUACUAAUGGCUGCAGAUUAGCCAAUGAGAUAUUUGGAUGGCCUCUACACUAUGUUAUUCUUCUUAUUAAGACUAUAAAAUUUGUUUCCGCUCUUAAUAGAGAUAAUAUCUGCUGGUCUCUACAACAUUUUAAAUGGAUUGAGGAUGGUAAACAGUGGAAUCUUUAUCAUUUGAUGAAAAUGUAAUACUGUCGUGGAAUCCAAUUAAUGUACGUAUCCAUUUGGGCAGGAGUUUUUACUUAGUUUAUACUUGAUGCAUUCUAUCGACAUAUCACAUAUAUACCUAUCAGUAUACUUCCCCAGUUGAUUUAUCAUGAUGUAUGAAACAAUAGUGUAUAAUUAAAAAACUACACGCAAUAUCUUCUGAAAUUUGGUAGAUUUGCGGUGGUAUACUCCUGCAUGGUGUAAUAUUAUGGUGUUAUUACAUCAUUUCUUUGGUGUGUGGACUAUUAUGUGUAGUUUUUCCAACCUCCACUAUUGGCAGUCUUUCUCUCUUGUCAGUCUCUUGCAGAUAGUAAGAGCAUCGCGCCCAUCCAGGGUCCUCUCCAGCACACAGGCUCCCCUCUCCACCAGCGAAAGAAUGAUGUCUGGCUCUCUCCUCAUGCAAGCUAUGUGCAGCGGCGUAUAUCCACCGCUGUUCUUCAGGUUCACGUUAGUAGAGUCCAGUUUGAGCAGCUCUGCAAACACCUUGGGCUCACAGUAGGCUGCAGCAUAGUGUAUCGCGAAUGCAUCGUCCAAGGUCACCGUCGAUUCCUUCAACAGCAAGCCGACGAGAUCAACGUCGUCGGAAUCCAAGGCCUUGAGGAUGUUCCUGACCCUCUUGUCAUGCUCAGGGUCCAGAAUGGUGUUCUCUGGUUGGUGAAAUCAACUUCUAUUCAUGCUAUGCUACUUGGGGCCUAUUUGGUUUGUUGAGAUUCUUAGAAUCUAGCACAAAAAAUCAUAAUAUGCCAAACAUGUCUCAUUUUGUAUCUAGAUUCUAGACAAAAAUCUGAGUAUCCAACUACACCUUGAUAAUAUAAGAUAACACCUUGGAAAUAUAUUGUGCUUAAGUUUUCUAAUGUAGAUUCAAUAUAACAAGCCAGAAUUGUAUAGUAUACCAAGUUAACAACUCACAAAGACCUUAAAUUGUGAUAAACCGGUUCAAAUUGAUGUCUUGUGCAUGUGUUCAAUAUAUGUGGUCUUUUCUCAAUAUAUAUGUUUAUGUACAUUAUUAUUCACUUACUAAUUUGUUAUCCUAACUGAUUCUGAUUGCCUGUUAUCCUAACCGAUUCUACAUGCCUGCUCAUCUCGCUGGACG